GAUGAACGCUGGCGGCGUGCCUAACACAUGCAAGUCGAGCGAACCCUUCGGGGUGAGCGGCGGACGGGUGAGUAACGCGUGGGUAACCUGCCCUGUACACACGGAUAACAUACCGAAAGGUAUGCUAAUACGGGAUAACAUAUGAGAGUCGCAUGGCUUUUGUAUCAAAGCUUUUGCGGUACAGGAUGGACCCGCGUCUGAUUAGCUAGUUGGUAAGGUAACGGCUUACCAAGGCAACGAUCAGUAGCCGACCUGAGAGGGUGAUCGGCCACAUUGGAACUGAGACACGGUCCAAACUCCUACGGGAGGCAGCAGUGGGGAAUAUUGCACAAUGGGCGAAAGCCUGAUGCAGCAACGCCGCGUGAGCGAUGAAGGCCUUCGGGUCGUAAAGCUCUGUCCUCAAGGAAGAUAAUGACGGUACUUGAGGAGGAAGCCCCGGCUAACUACGUGCCAGCAGCCGCGGUAAUACGUAGGGGGCUAGCGUUAUCCGGAAUUACUGGGCGUAAAGGGUGCGUAGGCGGUCUUUCAAGCCAGAAGUGAAAGGCUACGGCUCAACCGUAGUAAGCUUUUGGAACUGUAGGACUUGAGUGCAGGAGAGGAGAGUGGACUUCCUAGUGUAGCGGUGAAAUGCGUAGAUAUUAGGAGGAACACCAGUAGCGAAGGCGGCUCUCUGGACUGUAACUGACGCUGAGGCACGAAAGCGUGGGGGAGCAAACAGGAUUAGAUACCCUGGUAGUCCACGCCGUAAACGAUGAGUACUAGGUGUCGGGGGUUACCCCCCUCGGUGCCGCAGCUAACGCAUUAAGUACUCCGCCUGGGAAGUACGCUCGCAAGAGUGAAACUCAAAGGAAUUGACGGGGACCCGCACAAGUAGCGGAGCAUGUGGUUUAAUUCGAAGCAACGCGAAGAACCUUACCUAAGCUUGACAUCCCACUGACCUCUCCCUAAUCGGAGAUUUCCCUUCGGGGACAAUGGUGACAGGUGGUGCAUGGUUGUCGUCAGCUCGUGUCGUGAGAUGUUGGGUUAAGUCCCGCAACGAGCGCAACCCUUGCCUUUAGUUGCCAGCAUUAAGUUGGGCACUCUAGAGGGACUGCCGAGGAUAACUCGGAGGAAGGUGGGGAUGACGUCAAAUCAUCAUGCCCCUUAUGCUUAGGGCUACACACGUGCUACAAUGGGUGGUACAGAGGGUUGCCAAGCCGUGAGGUGGAGCUAAUCCCUUAAAGCCAUUCUCAGUUCGGAUUGUAGGCUGAAACUCGCCUACAUGAAGCUGGAGUUACUAGUAAUCGCAGAUCAGAAUGCUGCGGUGAAUGCGUUCCCGGGUCU
rnacentral:rRNA from 1 species